CUCUUCUUCUCCCUUGACGAGAGAUCGCGAGAAAACAAAACUGAAAAAUCGUUUGUGAAGCAAAUCAAAGGACGGAAAGUGACAAAUCUUAAUACCAAAGCGGCGCACUCAACAAAAUUAAAGUUCAAAAGCUCUAAAUCCCCUUUCAACCAAUUUCGUCAGCCACAGAAUGUUUCAGCAGCCAGCAGGCUACCGCAGGGAGAUUUUUAGAAGUACAUGAAAGAGAACUAUGAUGACCAAAAAACAUUGUCGGGUGUAAAGAGACAAUUCGAGAGAGUGAUGUACUUCCCAAUGCCCUCAAUGAUAAUAUCUCAAAGUUUUGCAAUUGGCUUAUAAAGCUCUCGGCAAAGCUCUAUGGUUCUAAAGAAACAAAAGCCCAAAAUUUUGACAAACACAUAUGUUUGAUUGAAAUACGUAUGAAUAAAAAAACA